UACGUAGGGGGCAAGCGUUGUCCGGAAUCAUUGGGCGUAAAGAGCGUGUAGGCGGCCCGGUAAGUCCGCUGUGAAAGUCCAGGGCUCAACCCUGGGAUGCCGGUGGAUACUGUCGGGCUCGAGUCCGGAAGAGGAGUGUGGAAUUCCUGGUGUAGCGGUGAAAUGCGCAGAUAUCAGGAGGAACACCCGGGGCGAAGGCGGCCCUCUGGCUCGACCCUGACGCUGAGGCGCGAAAGCGUGGGGAGCGAACGGG
rnacentral:rRNA from 1 species